rnacentral:misc_RNA from 1 species
GUUUUUUUAUCAAAGAAAUUUGAGUUUUUUUUCCUCCACUUUUCUCUUUUUAUUAUUUUAUUUUUAAGUUCUUGCAAUGUCUUUGUAAAAGCCAAGAAUCCACUCUUUCUUCCUUGUUUUCCUACUGCACAUUUUACAUUCUGCAGAACUUUUAUUCUCAUUUUUUGUUCUUUAGUUUUGUUUUUGAGCUCUCCAACACCAAUGAUGUCUUGUUGGAAGAUGAGGAAUUCUUCUGCAUAAUUUUUGUAACAUCAACUGAUAACUCACUCUGGAACCUUGCAGCCAUCCCUACAUAACAAUAGGACUGAGCAGUAACAGUUAUCAAACACUUACAAUGGAGUACAAGAAGCCGUUUGGGGGGAAGAAUGAAUGCUUUAAACAAAUCUCUACCAUAUACCGUAUAUAUCAAAUAUACACCGCCAAAUAUACACUGCUUAAUAAAAAUAUUUGAGAUCAAGUUGUUAGCUCCCUUCGUUUCCACAGCAACACAGUUGUGAACAACACUCUAGGCAGCCAAAACACGCAAGAGCAGUGCAGAGCUGCGUUAAUGCUAUUGCACAUUGGUCAUUCAUCUUGGAGCAACACUGGAUGCAGCACAUACAACAGCAUCUAUUACACAUACUUCCACAACAAUUUGAAGCUGCCCUGAUGAUGAUUUCAGCUGCCUCUGGCAACUUUGUUUCUUCUGCUCCAGGAGGAAUGUUUUCAGCUGUUGCUGUCAAAUUGCCAAAGCCAACACAAAGGUUUGGUAGCAAUAUUCUUCUGCAGCCUUGAGAAUCCACUUUUAAAGAAUCAGUCUUGUGUGACAACUGUUUACCCAAUUUUCAAAAGAACAGUCAUCGUAAUGUCUUAAUUUUGAUGCCUAUGCGGCAUGCAAAAAAUUAUAGAAAGAACACAAAGAUAGGUAAAAAAUGACAUGAUCUCUUAAGGUAGUCGGACCCAUUGUUGGCAAUUUACAAGGACCUGUCUGUAAUUUGUAAGACAAACAAAUGCAGCAAAUAUAUUUGAAAGGGCCAAUACUUACCUUAUGUGUUCUAGGUGAUUCCGUGGCUUGAUUUCCUUUCUGAGUCUCAAGUAAUGCCAGAAGAGUAUAUUCGGACACAACACCUGUUUGCAUGCUCAUUUUGGCAACCUAUCAGUAAGAGGAAAUAACAUCAGCAAAUUCCUGAAUCUAGGAAAUGGAAACUUAGUCAUGAUAAGUAGACAUGUUCAGCGAUGCUCCUAGUCUAAGCAUAAAGACUAGCAGACCUAAACAAGAACUGUUAAGGCAUUCCUAAGAGCUGGGCCUGCGAUAAUCUUUCAGAUAAUCAGCAAAAUGAUAAAUAUCAGAUGAAGCUUAUGAAUAAAGUGAAAACGGUCAGGAUCACCAAUUAUAUGUUGUCAGGCAAAGCAUGUACACUUCAGAACUGACAUUAGAAGAAGAAAGAAAUCCAGCAACAAACCUUCUCUUCAAGCCGUUUGUUUUCUGAAAACCACGCCUGGGCUGUGAGUAGAUCAAUCUGUUGCUUUGCAAAAAUCUGUUAUUGAAGAGAGAGUAUACAUCAAAACUGUAAAGCUCUUACACUUGCGUAUGAAAUGGACUACUCAAAAGAUCCGUAUUGAAGAUAAGUAAAACGUUGAACUAAACCAGAAUUUGUAGUUUAUUGAUAAGAAGGGCCAUAAAUAUAAAUGACACAGAAUAUAUGAACACAACACAAACCCUUUAUGUAAUUACAUAUAAGAUAAACAAGUAGAUAUAAUCAGAUGCUAUAAAAUAAGUUUACGGGCAACAUAGGCAACUUAUCGAAUCAAAGCCUAGAAAUAAAAUGGGUAUCACGCAUGGAUCACCAUCACUCAGCCAAAUAUGACAAACAGGAGACAGAAUUGUGACGUUGGCAGACCAAGGGUGUAUGACAGCAGUAGCCAUGCACCAUGACUACACAAUUGAAACAAUGUAAUAACACCACAUGUACCAUGGUCUACAUAGUGAUAUAAUGUAAAUAAUAUCAAUCAUAAUUCAAAUGAAAAGCAAGCACACAAGUUAGUGCUUUACCUUGUCAAAAGGCAUGUCUUUUGCUUUUUGUAUCUUCAAGUCUACAACAAAAUUACUCAAAUCUCCUAAAACAGCUUUAGCUUUAACAGUUUCCGGGAAGUUUCCCCCAUAUCUCCCAGAAAUAAUUAACAGGCUUUCAAAUGAAAGGUCUGGAAUACGGGAGGGGUACACCUCAACAUCAUCAAGAUCAUUAAAUGCAUCAAUCGUUAUGUUUGCAAGAACAGUAGAUAGACCUUUGACAAACAACUUUUGCAUUUGAGAUUGAACUGAAUCUACAUCAUACGCAGCGUCAUAUUGCCCCCUGCUAAUCAUUGCAAGCAUGCGCAGGAAAUAAUGAUUACAGUAUGUACCUAUGCCAAAAGUGUAUAUGCGUGGACAUAUUGAUCCUUUGCCAGUUAGAUGACUUUGCACUAAUUCACAAAUGUGUCUUUCAUCUUCAACAGCUCCAUCAGUGACAAGAAAAAUGACAGGAACCGAUCCAUGAGUAUUUGAUACUAUCUCCAGUGCCUCAAUCAUGAAAAAAGCACAAAUUGAAGAUUGCUUUACUUUUAUCUUUCAGUUCAUAUUAUGUUAGUUGAUAUGAUAGGAAGUUCAAAAUGUAGAGGAAGUUUACAAACAAUUGUGAUUUCCAACAUAAAGUUGAUGUCAAAACAGAUUACAGUGAAUGCAAACAAGCUAAAAUUAAGAAGUACCAGGUUUAAAAUGUAUAAAAAUGCAUUUUACACUAAAUUAGUGCCACAAAAAAAAAUACAAGUUCAAAAGCACCAUUCACCGAAAGUCGAGCAAGCUCAGUGAUUUUCUUUAAAGUGGUGAUUGGUGAAUAAGACCAGAAAGAUAUCAAUUGUUUUAAAACUUGGUCCAUCUAGAUGCUGUCUAACAGGAUGUUAACAUUUUCUGUCUUCUGUUUUGUAUUUGUCUAUUACAAGCCACUGCCAUCAUGUAUUUUUUUUAAUACACAAAUUUGGAUACAUUUACAAGAGAUCAGAAAUCCAUAAAGGAGAAAUUACCUGCUUUAGGGGAAGCAAGAUAUUUGUACCGCCCCCUGCAAUAAAGUUUUGAUUAAUCCACUCAACAGCCUUUUCAACUGUUUCUGCAGUCGCCAACUCCAUUGAUGAAGAAAAUAAAUAAGUCUCUCCAUUAAAAGCUAUAAUAUUGAAUGAAUCUUUUAAAUCAAGUUUGGUCAGGGCUCCAAACAAUACAUCCUUUGUACCCUCAAGUGGCUUUCCUUCCAUGCUUCUACUUAUAUCAACGACAAAUACUAUCUCUUUUCUGAACACCUUCCCACUCGAUUGAUCUCCUGGGAAAAGAUAGACAGAGAACAUCUCUCUUUGGUCAACAUCAUGCACAGAUGGGGAUUGCAAAAUCACACCACCAUAUAUAUGACUUGAGGAGACAGAAUAUGAGAUAGCGAAAUCAAUAUCUGUCCAAGUGAGAACUUCUGAUUCAUACAAGAAACCCAACUUCCCUGCUUCACGUUUUAAUUGCUUCAAAGGAUGACUAGUCGUCUUGCACAGAAUUUCUUGUCCAGUACCAGAGUUUACAUUCAAUUGUAUCUUUUCUUUUUUUGGUAGCUUCUUUACAGGAGGAGUGACAUACUCCGGAAAACUAAAUGGCACAAUCAAUGAGAACUCUCCAUUUCGGUAUAACAAUUUUUGUAUCCAACUAACUUUUAUGGAAAGAGAGGAGCCCCCAUCAACUUUUGGAAUUGCCAUGGUAAAUAUAUGAGGCUUCAAAAAGCCUCCAUUUUCAGGCCGGCCUUCCUUUUCCAUAUCUUUUUUGUCAUCCACUGCAAUCAGUUCAGUAGAAUACGACAUUCUAGGAACUUCCACCUCAACACCUAGAAUUGAACCCUGCUCGCCCAUAGGAAUCGCGAUACGGCAAUCACAACUCUUGCUGCCCAUAACGCAAUGAACCCGCCAGGAUCCACUUACGCGAACAAUAACUGAAUCCAAAUAAGAAUCAGCCUCGAGUUCUAUCCGGGUCAUCUGGAGCGGAAUAAGCGCGGGCGGAUCACACCGGCCGUGCACGUGCGGCUGGUAGCUAGGCAUGUCCGGGUUAUCCACAAUAGCCGGAUCAGAUAUGACAGCGUAAACCAUGGGUGCCGUUGGGAGUGACAUUUCUGAAGACUUCUCCAUGGACAGCGGCGGCUUAGGAGGAGUGACGGCCCUGUCCUUCCCGAAGUAUAAACGCUUGGAGAGCUUGAGACCAUCCUCGACGGACUUGCCAAAUUCCUCAGCCAUUGAUUCGAUCUUUCGUCUUUAAAACAAAAAAGUAACUCUGCCUUGGAGAGAAGAAAUUAAAGGAAGGGGAAGAGACGAACAGUAGAGAAUGACUCUGGAGCUGGGUUUCUUCUCGCAUAUGGCGUAAAACGCUGGUUCUCGG